rnacentral:rRNA from 1 species
GACGAACGCUGGCGGCGUGCUUAACACAUGCAAGUCGAGCGGACGUAGCAAUACGUUAGCGGCGGACGGGUGAGUAACGCGUGAGCAACCUGCCUUUAUCAGGGGGAUAACACUUAGAAAUAGGUGCUAAUACCGCAUAAGACCACAGUCGGGCAUCCGACAGGGGUAAAAGCAUAUACGGAUAAAGAUGGGCUCGCGUCCCAUUAGCUAGUUGGUAGGGUAACGGCCUACCAAGGCGACGAUGGGUAGCCGACCUGAGAGGGUGAUCGGCCACAUUGGAACUGAGAAACGGUCCAA